rnacentral:rRNA from 1 species
GACGAACGCUGGCGGCGUGCUUAACACAUGCAAGUCGAACGGGCCUUGUCCCCUUUUUUUUUGGGGGUGGGGUUAGUGGCGAACGGGUGAGUAACACGUGAGUAACCUGCCCCUCACUUCUGGAUAACCGCUUGAAAGGGUGGCUAAUACGGGGUGUUCUGGCCUGCUCGCAUGGGUGGGUUUGGAAAGAUUCGACCGGUUUUGGUUGUUUUGGUGGGGGAUGGGCUCGCGGCCUAUCAGCUUGUUGGUGGGGUGAUGGCCUGCCAAGGCUUUGACGGGUAGCCGGCCUGAGAGGGUGGGCGGUCACACUGGGACUGAGACACGGCCCAGACUCCUACGGGAGGCAGCAGUGGGGAAUAUUGCACAAUGGGCGCAAGCCUGAUGCAGCGACGCCGCGUGAGGGAUGGAGGCCUUCGGGUUGUGAACCUCUUUCGCCAGUGAAGAAGGUCCUGCUCUUUGUGGUGGGGUUGACGGUAGCUGGGUUAAUGAAGCGCCGGCUAACUACGCG